rnacentral:lncRNA from 1 species
AACAAUAAUAAGCUUGAAAUUAGAAAGUUUUUCUUCUUGAUUUUGACAGCAACAGGGAAAAAUCUGGUGCUGAAAAUCCAUCUGGCUGGAUCUAUAAAGAGAACGAGGAAAAAUAUCAGAGGGAAAAUAGACAGAUGUUCUGAAAAUACAGAUGGGAGCCUUGGAAAGAGAGGAAAGAAUAAGAGGAACUUUGGCAUCUUCUUUAAAAAGUCAUAGGUAUAAACAGAGAAAACUGACAAAGGAUUUGAAAGAAUUGCUUGAAGGAAGUCAGAAUUUGAACUGGAAAUAAUCAGAAUUCAGUGUCUGGUGGACAAGGAAGCCACAGAAGAUGUUUAAAGUAGGUUUUAUGGCCUGCUGAGCCUCCCCUCUGUGUGCCCAGCCUGUGACCCACAGCACCAGCAGCAGGACAUGCUCACAGGACAGGGACAAGAGGAGCAGCCACCACCCUGCACAUCUGGACCUGCACAUCUGCCCAGUGAGGGCUGGCAGAGGAGUCUGGAUCUCUGGGAAUCAGAUCUCCAGUGCAGAAAUCCAUCCCAGCAUUGCUAA